rnacentral:rRNA from 1 species
UCUCUCUGAAUCUGCGAACGGCUCCGCAAACCAGUUGUAAACUAUAGCAAGCAAUCUCACUCGGGCUUCGGUUCGGGUGAGUAAUAGGGAUAACCCUGGUAAUUCUGAGGCUAAUACCUGAGCGUAGAAACCGAUCAACCGGCAACGGAAGGUUGGUGGACGUGCGAUUGGUUCGCGACGAUUACCGGGACGGGACGCACGUCAUGACCGCGCAAAAAGGAUGCUUGCUUUCGGGUGAGCUUCUAGCGGCUCUUGCUGUGUGCUUCUGACCUAUCAACUAGAUGGCAGCGUAAGGGACAUGCUAUGGUUACAACGGGUACAGAGGAUUAGGGUUCGAUCCUGGAGAGUGGGCCUGAGAGAUU